AAGCGCUUAUGACCAGACUUUUUCCUGGCGGAUCAUCCAGUGUUCUCACUGGUGCACUUCGCCUGGUUUAGGCCAGCAUCGAUUUCCGUAGGGGGAUAAAAGCUUUGGGAAUGUGGCUCCCCCGGGAGUGUUAUAGCCCUUUGUAUAAUACCUUUAUGGGGAUCGAGGUACGCGCUUCUGCAAGGAUGCUGGCGUAAUGGUCAUCA
rnacentral:rRNA from 1 species